GAUUUAAGAGAAUGUGGUGAUGACGAUUCUUCUACAAAUCUGAAGUCAGAAAUGUCCGGGUUUGCUGAACCUUCACAACUGCCUACUUCCAUGAAGAAGGAGAUAAAAGAGGAGGAAUUUGAUGCUUUCCUACAAGAGUAUCCGUCUACAUUGAAGACAGUGGAAGAAAAGCCUGGACUGGAAUAUGAAUGCAAGACCGAAAUGUACACGUCUACCAUCAUGACCUUGAAAGAAGAAAAGUGUUCACCAAUGGAAAUCAAA